rnacentral:tRNA from 1 species
AUAAAUUAGUUUAUAGAGAAUAAGAAGUUGUGGACUUUUAGGAAUAAUUUUAUUGAAUGGUU